GCCUUCGUGGUGUAGAGGUAGCACACUCGACGCAUAUAUUUGAGAGGUCUAGGUUCGAGUCCCGGCGAGGACA
rnacentral:tRNA from 1 species